AGGACUAUGAAACCUGAAGGGAGGCUUUGAACCUAACUGUGAAACCAUGAUCGUUGUUUACUAAGUCUAGAAUUAAGGACAUUUGCUACUAGAACUCAGGGGGAGUGACUAAAUCUAGGCAUCUGAACUAUAUAUGUGGGAAGUCUUGGGUAUCCGUCCCUAUAGCCCUGUGGUGGGCUUCUGGAGUCUGGAAGAAGCUGAAGGCAUGUAGUCCAAGUAGUAGUUGCAGUUGAAGGGAGAUUCGUAGACGGAGAUUUUCCUGGGCUGGAGGGCUUGCUGGGUGAGUGACUGAAACUGAAGGAGGAGGCUUACAUUGGUGAAUUUGUGGUUAAAGAUGCCACUGGGACUUCCAUGUGGAGAUCAAGACUUGAAAGAGCCCUUGCUGGGGGCUGAGAUGGACUUCACAGGAUCAGCACUUAUGUUGAGUCAUCAAAAUCCAGUGGCAAGGCAAAAGUCAGGACAACAUCUUUGAUGACUGACCAACCUCUAAG
ensembl:lncRNA